UAGGGAAUAUUGGGCAAUGGGCGCAAGCCUGACCCAGCAACGCCGCGUGAGGGAAGAAGGUUUUCGGAUUGUAAACCUCUGUCCUAUGUGACGAAGGAAGUGACGGUAGCAUAGGAGGAAGCCCCGGCUAACUACGUGCCAGCAGCCGCGGUAAUACGUAGGGGGCGAGCGUUGUCCGGAAUUACUGGGCGUAAAGGGUGCGUAGGCGGUUUGGUAAGUUGGAUGUGAAAUACCCGGGCUUAACUUGGGGGCUGCAUCCAAUACUGCUGAUCUUGAGUGAUGGAGAGGCAGGCGGAAUUCCUAGU
rnacentral:rRNA from 1 species